rnacentral:rRNA from 1 species
UUCCAGACUCCUACGGGAGGCAGCAGUGGGGAAUAUUGCACAAUGGGGGAAACCCUGAUGCAGCGACGCCGCGUGAGCGAUGAAGUAUUUCGGUAUGUAAAGCUCUAUCAGCAGGGAAGAAGAUGACGGUACCUGACUAAGAAGCCCCGGCUAACUACGUGCCAGCAGCCGCGGUAAUACGUAGGGGGCAAGCGUUAUCCGGAUUUACUGGGUGUAAAGGGAGCGUAGACGGCGAUGCAAGCCAGAUGUGAAAGCCCGGGGCUCAACCCCGGGACUGCAUUUGGAACUGUGUGGCUGGAGUGUCGGAGAGGCAGGCGGAAUUCCUAGUGUAGCGGUGAAAUGCGUAGAUAUUAGGAGGAACACCAGUGGCGAAGGCGGCCUGCUGGACGAUGACUGACGUUGAGGCUCGAAAGCGUGGGGAGCAAACAGGAUUAGAUACCCUUGUAAA